rnacentral:rRNA from 1 species
UACAGAGGUCCCAAGCGUUGUUCGGAUUCAUUGGGCGUAAAGAGCGUGUAGGCGGUUCGGUAAGUCGGCUGUGAAAGUCCAGGGCUCAACCCUGGGAUGCCGGUCGAUACUGCCGGACUAGAGUUCGGAAGAGGCGAGUGGAAUUCCCGGUGUAGCGGUGAAAUGCGCAGAUAUCGGGAGGAACACCUAUGGCGAAGGCAGCUCGCUGGGACGUUACUGACGCUGAGACGCGAAAGCGUGGGGAGCAAACAGG